GGAGGUAUAGCUCAGUGGUACAAGCACCUGCCUAGUAAGCAUGAGGUCAUGAGUUUGAUUCCCGGUAUCUCCC
rnacentral:tRNA from 1 species